UAAAAUGCAAUAUGGAUGCUUGCACUUACUGUGUGUCUUUCCCUUUUUACCCUUAGGUAACUUCAAGUGAAAGUUAAGGACCUUUUGUCCUUAUCUGCCAUAGAUGUGACAGACACUUUUGGAAGGAAGAGUUUGAGCAAAAAGGAAAAGACCUUCCCACAGCACAGCAAAGUGACAAAGUGACUCUGAAGAAAUGAUGGUGGUACUAGAAUUGAUCUUGGACAUCACUUCAGUUCAAGGUUGAAGUUAAAAGGUCUUUUUGAGGCUUAGAAGAAGCAGGUAUUAAGUCAUGAUGCAGGAAUCUGCGACAGAGACAAUAAGCAACAGUUCAAUGAAUCAAAAUGGAAUGAGCACUCUAAGCAGCCAAUUAGAUGCUGGCAGCAGAGAUGGAAGAUCAAGUGGUGACACGAGCACUGAAGUAAGCACAGUAGAACUGCUGCAUCUGCAACAACAGCAGGCACUCCAGGCUGCAAGGCAGCUGCUUUUACAGCAACAGACAAGUGGACUGAAAUCUCCUAAGGGCAGUGAGAAACAGAGACCGCUGCAGCUUACAGGGUCUUGUGACCUCAGCCCAUAGCAGAGUUUCAACAGUAAUAGCGACAGCCAUCUUGGAUAAAUGUGCCUGUGUCAGUGGCCAUGAUGACUCCCCAGGUGAUCACCCCUCAGCAAAUGCAGCAGAUUCUCCAGCAGCAAGUGUUGUCUCCGCAGCAGCUUCAAGCACUUCUCCAGCAGCAGCAAGCAGUUAUGUUGCAGCAGGUAAUGUGUGUUACCUGCUUUGGACUGUUAGCACAGGGCAUUCACAAAAAUGUCAGCCAGAUUUUAUGGUCUUAUUUUGUAAUAUUUCUUUGCUCAUUACACCAAAAAGAAUGAAAAUAAACAUGAUACUUCUCAGUCUCCAAAUUUUUAUAUUUUUUUUAAU
rnacentral:lncRNA from 12 species